GGCCAAGCCACGGGGGCCGUGGCGGCGGCGCAACGGGAGGCUGCGAGGGGGCAGGGCAGGCAUCGGCGACCGAUAAAGCCGGGGGGCGGGAGGGAGCGGCGGCGGGCAAGGCAAAGAAGGAAGCGUUCAACCAGCGCGCGAGUUCCUCGGCUUAGCGGGUGGAAGGGGGGGUUCGGGGCGAGGGGGGAUAGGGUGGCUCGCUCGCCUCCUGUGGGCUCUACCGCCGAGCCGCCGACCGGCCGCGCCCGGCGCGCCACGAGAGCGACGGGUCGCACGCCGCCGCCCGCUGGUUGAGGACCCGGCGGCAGGCGCUGUGGAAGAAGAGGUGGUUCCUUCACAAGCUCUCGGUGGCGCAGCAGAAGUGGUAGCCGUGGAGGUAGCGGAGGCAGGAGUGCCGGACCCGGCCAAUAAGAGAAGCAGUAUACGUCGUUUGUUUCUAGCUGUUCUCCGAGGUAAGGUAACUCCUUAGAAACUCCUUGUGGGUGUUUCAACUUGUACUACUCUAGUUUUUCUAACAAUGGAGGAUAUUGUAAUCGUGAAGUCGAACAUAUCGGUGACGUAACUGUUGAUGCCAACAACCUAUGCGGGACCCCACCGCGCCGCCUCGAACCAUGUGGGCCUCCUAGCAGGCCUCCCUCGUCGUCUUCGACUACCCGGUCUAUUUCAGCGUCUUGGCCACCGUGACCGCGGGGAAGUCGUUCGAGUCUUCGUCCAAGUCCUCGUUGGCCGUGCGGAGGUUCUCGAGACUGCGGGGCGGUGAAGGGCCGUUCCUACGGCUCCGGGGGAGCCAAUCGCCCCACAGACAGUUGUUCCGAGUCCCGCGGCUCCGGGAAAGCUUGUUGCGCCGGAGACGCUUGCAGUCGUCGCCGAGAGCCGGUCGUCGUCGCCGCCGCCGUCCGACGUCUACUGAGAUUAAUCUUUCUUUUGCGCCCCAGAACUUCACUUGUCAGCUACUACGCGGACCCUUAGCUCCCGUUUCUACGAUUCUACUACAAUCAAAGCUUACCUGACCGCCAGUCGGUCGGCGGUCGGCCAGACUAAGCCACCACCUAUUAAAACAUCGUGAUCGGUGAUUUGGACGACGAACUAACUAUCAUUCAUUGUCUGCCCCGACUGCGUGGUAUCAGGACUUUAGGACCGCUAUAAACACAGCAGCGGUACACAAAAAAAAAACCUUCGAGCAGCGGUAUAAACACACACCUAUUGAGUCGU
rnacentral:rRNA from 1 species